rnacentral:siRNA from 1 species
UCCCGUGAGGUGGCUAAGUGCA